AGCCCCUUGCUUCCCCUCCCUGCUCCCUGGCAACGCUGUUGUUUGAGUGAGAGAAACACACAGUGCUAAGACUGUGCGUUGGAAAUCAGAGAGGGAGCCACAAGUCUGCAGGGCUAGUGCUCCACUUCAAGCUGAAGAGAAAGACGGGAGGGAGGAGAGGAGAAGACAGGAGGAAAACAAUGCUGAUCUGCCUCUUCCCAGAGUUAGUCAGGAAAAGCUGCACAUUCUUUACAGUGCUGUUGCUGAUUUUCCAAGGGGCAACUGAAGCAGAGGGAACCUUAGAGAGAAAAGCUGCAGCUGUGGGAUCCUCGGUGCUCCUGCCUGCACCAGACAACGUAAAGGGGAUGACGUUCCUGCAGUGGGAAUAUCUAAAUGGCACCGCGUCCCACUUCAUUGUGCAGUACCACAAAGGUUCACCGGAUCCAACUGCCCACGCACCC